GGUCAUUUAGAGGAAGCAAAAGUCGUAACAAGGUUUCCGUAGGUGAACCUGCGGAAGGAUCAUUAGUGAAUUAUAGGGCGUCUACUUGUAGAGCCUGACCUCCACUUCUAACACUGUGCACUUGAUGGCGAGGUAAUGGAACUUUCGAGUGAAACUACCUUGCGGCUUCAUUUUAAACAUUAGUCAAAGUAUGUAAUGAAAUAAAAAACAAAAAAAAACUUUCAACAACGGAUCUCUUGGCUCUCGCAUCGAUGAAGAACGCAGCGAAAUGUGAUAAGUAAUGUGAAUUGCAGAAUUCAGUGAAUCAUCGAAUCUUUGAACGCACCUUGCGCUCCCUGGUAUUCCGGGGAGCAUGCCUGUUUGAGUGUCAUGAACUCUUCAACCCACCAGUUUCUAGUAGACUGCGUUGGUGUUUGGAUUUUGAGCGUUGCUAGUCUGACUAGCUCGUUCGUAAUAUAUUAGCAUCUCUAAUUCGAAUUCGGAUUGACUCAGUGUAAUAGACUAUUCGCUGAGGACACUUUUAUUAGUGGCCGUACUAGAACCAGUAGAAGCUUCCAACUAUUGUAGUCAACUUUAAUUUAGACCUCAGAUCAGGCAGGAUUACCCGCUGAACUUAAGCAUAUCAAUAAGCGGAGGA
rnacentral:rRNA from 1 species